CAAAUUGCACAUUCUGUCCUGUUGAGUGGCUACAACAUUUGAAUACGUGUUAUUUCAUUUCUAAGGAAAAUGAAACUUGGCUUAACAGCAUAAAAUUCUGCAACUCAUUUCUGGCUCACCUUGUUAAAAUCGAGGACAACGAUGAACUGGAGUUUCUCAGAAACAAAACAGUACAUGCAGAAUACACUUAUUGGAUUGGAUUGUGGCAACAAUAUACUUAUGACGUUUGGAGAUGGCUUGAUGGCACACCACUGGAUACUCAGAAACUCCAAGUCUUGAACACCCAAAAAUGAAUACAGCAAAAAAAGCAAGAACAGAUAGUGGAAGAUCAUUCCAAGAGGCCUGGACAGAGUCAUUUGAAGUGAUUGAACACAAUGGGAAAACGUGACGAAGCGGAAGCGGAAGUAGAAGGAGACAAUGGCC